UCAUCACUGAUACGUAGUAGAAAGUAGAACGUAGAACACAGCCAAAGGCAAAACUUGUUUGGAUAUUUUUGUUUUUCAUGUCCUUCAAUUGAAGAAUCUUGGACACAAGUUAGAAUCGGUGUUGCCGUUUUUUCACAGACAACAUAUUCAUUACUUCUUAAAAGUUUCCAAAUAGAACAGUAAAAAGUACAUAAUUCUAUGCAUUAUAUAGUAUUAUACAUAUACACUCCAUACUAUUAUAUACAUAUACACUUCAUACUAGAAUUCUGUGAUAAAAAAGUACUGAAUAUGAAGAAUUGAAAACUGAUAAACGCGGCAAUACUUUAAAUACAACGUUAUGGAUAAUUAUAUUUAAAAGGAAAUGAACAGUUUCGUAAAUUCAAUUUGACUUGAAGAAAAAGCUUUUAUCGUUUCACGUAUAUAAUCAAAUCCUUUUAAACAUCUCGUGAAUAUUAACUACGUAACAAUUUCUGCACGCAUGUGCUUUGAAAAUAACUCUCAAAAAACACCAUUUAUAUUACAGUUUUGAAACGAACAUUUUAUAAGAACAUCGUAUAAUUCGUACGACAUGAAGUUGAGCGGCCAACUGUAAUCAAAAUAUUAAUUGACACCGACUCCCCUUGCUUUUAUGCAAUCACGAACGUAAAUAUACGCACACAUUUUAAAGGUUAAAGAAAUGAUUAUUUUUAUGAUGUUAACAAUAAGUAUGCUUCUUGUACACGACAGUAAAAAAACUUCACUUGGAGCACGAUACAAAAGCUGCGUUUAAAACAUAAAUAUACCACAUGCUUCAGCAUUAAAGAACUAAAUUCAAGAAUGUUUUUCUCCAAAUUAACAUAAAUUUUUUGUUUCAAUAUUUUUAAUUAGCUCCUCACGUAUCGUACACAAUUUAGUUUUCUAAUCUCUCGCGUGUUCCUUAUGCUCUGUUAAAAGUAUAAAUAAAUAUAUAAAUAAAAUACUUCAAAUGUAAACCAUGCACCUUCGAUCCAGGUCGGAAUAUAUAUUUGCCAACACUA